UACGUAGGUGGCAAGCGUUGUCCGGAUUUAUUGGGUUUAAAGGGUGCGUAGGCGGUCUUUUAAGUCAGUGCUGAAAUAUCCCGGCUUAACCGGGAGGGUGGCAUUGAUACUGAAGGACUUGAGUUCAGUCGAGGUAGGCGGAAUUGACGGUGUAGCGGUGAAAUGCUUAGAUAUCGUCAAGGACACCGAUAGUGUAGACAGCUUACUAGGCUGAAACUGACGCUGAGGCACGAAAGUGUGGGGAUCAAACAGG
rnacentral:rRNA from 1 species